UUCGCAAUGCCCGAAAGGGUGAACGAGCGACGCCGCGUGCGGGAUGAAGGCCUUCGGGUUGUAAACCGCUUUUGCAAGGGAAAAACUUAAUGAUGGUACCUUGCGAAUAAGAGGUUACUAACUCUGUGCCAGCAGUAGCGGUAAUACAGAGACCUCAAGCGUUAUCCGGAUUUAUUGGGCGUAAAGCGCGUGUAGGCGGAUGGGAACGUCGGUCUUUGAAAGCCCCCGGCUCAACCGGGGAAGCGGAGCCGAAACGACCGGUCUGGAGGGACGUAGGGGGACCUGGAACUUCCGGUGGAGCGGUGAAAUGCGUUGAGAUCGGAAGGAACGCCCGUGGCGAAAGCGAGGUCCUGGACGUCUGCUGACGCUGAGACGCGAAAGCUAGGGGAGCAAACGGGAUUAGAUACCCCGGUAGUCCUAGCCGUAAACGAUGGGCACUAAGUAGAGGGGUUUU
rnacentral:rRNA from 1 species